rnacentral:lncRNA from 13 species
GGCGGACACAUCGAUAUCUUUUUUUAUGAAAAGAUAUUAUUCUCACAAACAUCUUUUUCACAAUUUUUACACGAGGAGGAUCUAAGCAGUUCGAUCUUAUCUACUCACCUCAACGCGCACCAAUGAUUGUGCAUAAGCCCACAAAUCCUUUACUUGGGCAUCUACAGUACUCAACAUUUGUUCUCUAAUUUUCAUGUUACGCCAAACGACUCGGGACAUUCGUUUAUACUUCUGUCUAAUAUCGUCAAGAUUUUCCGCCGCCAGUUGACCCAUCACCGUUACUUUUAACAUCGCUUUGCAUUGAGAAUAUUGGUCUUCUUUCAAAAUGUUCAACAAAGUAUCGAAAAAUAUCGUGUCCUACAUAGAUUUUGUAGGAAUAAGAACGAUACAUAAAAGGUUUUUGAAUUAUUAGAUUGUUUUGAUUAUUAGAUUGAUUUACGUUUUGUUACUUUACAGUGAUACAUAUUACGAAAAUAGAGAUACUAUUUUCGGAAUAUGUGUCACUGUAUUUAAUAAUGCGACAGUUAAAAAUUUACUUUUUUCAGGAUGUUCAGCAUCGACCAAUACGUAGAAUGUAUAUCUUUCGCCGCAUUAUGUUUCGCGAUGGAUCGCUGUAAUUGCGCUACUAACCGUUGCUGCUCGCAAUUCGAUAGAUACUCGCUUUGCUCUUCGAGUUCGGUUGAAAGAACGUUGUACUCCAGCUUGUCAUCAAACGAGCAUAUCUUUACUCUAUUGCUCAAAGUUAACGCAAAACAUGUACACGAAUCUUAAUAUUACAUACUGAGUACAUAAGGAGGACGUUAUAAUAUUACAAUAUAUUGAUACACGUUUUAAUGAGUUUAUAUAAUCUUAUAUAUAAAAAAUUAUAUAUGCUUAAAUACGAAAUACUUUUAUAUCGCAUAAAGAUCAGGUUCUACCUGUAAUUCGAUA